rnacentral:rRNA from 1 species
GAUGAACGCUGGCGGCGUGCUUAACACAUGCAAGUCGAGCGAACAGACGAGGCUCUUGUUGCUUUGACGAUAGCCGCGGACGGGAGUGUAACGUGUGUAAAAUGUACUUAUAUUACUGGUAUCAUCUCGGGAAACCGGAUCAUAUACCGGAUGAUAUAUUGAAGCGCAGGGGUGAAUAGUGAAAGACGGCUUUUGUGGCUGGUAUAGCUGGAUCCCCGCCGCAUUAGGUAGUUGUUAAGGUAACGGCUUACCAAGGGAACGAUGCGUGGGCGACCGGAGGGGGUGAUCGGCCACACUGGAACGGAGACACGGUCCAGACUCCUACGGGAGGCAGCAGUAGGGAAUCUUCCGCAAUGGGCGAAAGCAUGACGGAGCAACGCCGCGUGAGUGAUGAAGGUCUUGCGAUCGUAAAACUCUGUUAUUAGGGAAGAACAAAUGUGUAAGUAACUAUGCACGUCUUGACGGUACCUAAUCAGAAAGCCACGGCUAACUACGUG